UGGGGAAUAUUGCACAAUGGAGGAAACUCUGAUGCAGCAACGCCGCGUGAGUGAUGAAGGCCUUCGGGUUGUAAAGCUCUUUCGGCCGGGAAGAAGGGUGUUGGUGGUAAUAUCGCCAACAUUUGAUGGUACCGGAAGAAGAAGCACCGGCUAACUUCGUGCCAGCAGCCGCGGUAAUACGAAGGGUGCGAGCGUUGUUCGGAAUUAUUGGGCGUAAAGGGUUCGUAGGUGGGAAGGUAAGUCGAGUGUGAAAUCCCUGAGCUUAACUCAGGACGUGCACCCGAAACUGCUUUUCUUGAGUGUUGGAGAGGGUCGUAGAAUUGCUGGUGUAGGAGUGAAAUCCGUAGAUAUCAGCAGGAAUACCAGAGGCGAAGGCGGCGACCUGGCCAAACACUGACACUGAGGAACGAAAGCGUGGGGAGCAAACAGGAUUAGAUACCCACGUAGUCCCUGAGCGGGCUGGCAAGGCGCAU
rnacentral:rRNA from 1 species